rnacentral:lncRNA from 1 species
CUACUAGUAACUAGUAAAAAAAAAAGCCAUUAUAGACAUCUGUCACUUGAGUUCACAAGGAAAAUGUAAUUAAAUAUAAGAAAAUGUUUGAUUAAAUGUUUAUCAAUGGUAACAUAUAAGCCCUAUCCAGACCGGAUUAGCUUCUCAGGGGGGCGUCUUUCAUCCAGACAUUGAAAAAACUCGGUCACAUGACAUCGUAUUCAGUACCUCCUCCAUUUCCACUUGCUGUUGUGUUUACGUGGAUCUUCAUGGAAACGCGUGCCCAAAGUGUAAUUACUGUGCGUGGCACUGGACAAAUAGCUAUUUUAUUAAAAGCGAGGUGACGAAAUUCAGAGAUAUGCUUCAGGACAGAACUAAAAUUACCGAAGGACCACGAAGUUCCGUGAAAAACAGUAGGUAAUUCAGCCUGUGCUUUUCUCAGAGGACGUCCUGUCAUACAUGACAUUAUUUAUGGCUAUUAAAAAAAUAGCAAUGGUUUAAGAGGAUAAUUUAUCAUACAGUUGAGCAGUAGAACCAACCAGAAACAAUCUUUAUUUAACAUUUUGCAUAUUACCUGUACUAACACAUACAUUGAUCAUGUUGUGUCACCAGUUAUUAACACCCUAACUCUUGACAGCAGUGCUUCAGCCAGUAUGUUUUUCUUUUGAAUAUUUUGUUAAGUAUCAGAAAUCUGUUCCCUCUGAUCCCACCUCAUUGCCCAUUCCCUAGUCCUCUUUCCACACCAUGGGUUGUCAGGUAUGAAACACAAGAGCAGACAAGUGCAGCAUGCUGCACCUUCUUCCUGCUUUUAACACACUCCAUAACCAAAAAGAUUUUAACAGUCUCGCCGGUUUCGCCUUGGGGACUAGACAGAGCGAAAAGCAAGUGGACGGAGUGCAGGGUUUCCCUUCUGCGCUGUCCUGAGUUAUGUGGCAUGUGCCUAUAGAGCUGACACACUUCCAUUAACAAAGUCAACCAAGAACGGCUAGGUGAGGACACACAAAUAACCAGGAAGACAAUUUCAGGUAAUGAAAACUUUUAUUUGAAAUGUGAAUACGGUGAUUAGAUAUUUUUAGAGUAAAAAUUUUUUUAAAGAGUUAUAUAUCACACAAUAUAAAGGUUUCU